ACAAGAACCUGAAAGUAUACUGAAUUCUUUCAUAAAUGGAUGUACCUGAGGAAGGCUCUGAAGAAGGAAGAACUCUCAGAAGACACAAUUAGAACCUAAAAAGAUACCAUGACUUGUAGAAACCUGGCUGUUAAGACUGAAUUACAGAUACUGUGACAGAACUCAGACAAUUGAAAACAAGUUAAAAAACAAAAUCUAGUAAGCAAAACUCCUAUUUCAUUUAAGCUUCUUUGUCUGACCUAUGACGGUAAUAUGUCAUAGGUGUUCUAGAUGAAAGUUUAUGUCAGGCAAUAAAGUACCCUUAAGUUACUGUUAAGUCUUUAUG
rnacentral:lncRNA from 1 species